GCAGCGGGGCUGUAGAGAGGGACUCCUGAGCUGCUGAAUUCCCUGCAGAUAAUUCAGAGAGCUUGUAACACAGCCUGCUUUUGAGUCAUCCUUGCUUCUGUUUCAGGGAAACCAAAGCAGGCAAAUGGAGGUGUCAGCUGAAGCAACGCCCAUGGAGGAAGGUUGCUUACUGCUUUUCUGUCUAGGUGUGCUCCAGUCUUCAGAUUGAGAAUCACAAGAAUCACAAGAGCUAAAGCUGCUCUUCCCUAGGCUUGACCCAUGGAGAAGAAAUGAGAGUGUGACAAGGAAGAGAAAGGAAGCAAAUCUCCUUUUACAUGCCCACUGAAGAAUUACAAACUUGAAGCAGGUUAAACAUACAGCACGGGAG